rnacentral:misc_RNA from 1 species
GAAAUGCGAUAAGUAGUGUGAAUUGCAGAAUUCAGUGAAUCAUCGAAUCUUUGAACGCACAUUGCGCCCUUUGGUAUUCCAAAGGGCAUGCCUGUUCGAGCGUCAUUUGUACCCUCAAGCUUCGCUUGGUGUUGGGCGUCUUGUCUCUAGCUUUGCUGGAGACUCGCCUUAAAGUAAUUGGCAGCCGGCCUACUGGUUUCGGAGCGCAGCACAAGUCGCACUCUCUAUCAGCAAAGGUCUAGCAUCCAUUAAGCCUUUUUUUCAACUUUUGACCUCGGAUCAGGUAGGGAUACCCGCUGAACUUAAGC